rnacentral:misc_RNA from 1 species
AAGUCGUAACAAGGUUUCCGUAGGUGAACCUGCGGAAGGAUCAUUAAAGAUUGGCCGAGAGGCCUCAUCUCUAUAUCCCUCACCUCUGUGAACCGUGGACCCUCGGGUCUAUAUACCUACAAACAUCUGUGUAAUGAACGUAUGUGACAUUAACAAAACAAAACUUUCAACAACGGAUCUCUUGGCUCUC